AAUGAACGCUGGCGGCAGGCCUAAAACAUGCAAGUCGAACGCCCUAGCAAUAGGGAGUGGCGCACGGGUGAGUAACAUGUGGGAAUAUGCCUUUUGGUACGGAACAACGUUUGGAAACGAACGCUAAUACCGUAUGGUCCCUCCGGGGUAAAGAUUUAUCGCCAAAAGAUUAGCCCGCACUAGAUUAGCUAGUUGGUAAGGUAAUGGCUUACCAAGGCGACGAUCUAUAGCUGUUCUGAGAGGAAGAUCAGCCACACUGGGACUGAGGCACGGCCCAGACUCCUACGGGAGGCAGCAGUGGGGAAUAUUGGACAAUGGGCGCAAGCCUGAUCCAGCCAUGCCGCGUGAGUGAUGAAGGCCUUAGGGUUGUAAAGCUCUUUCGCCAGGGACGAUAAUGACGGUACCUGGAUAAGAAGCCCCGGCUAACUUCGUGCCAGCCGCCGCGGUAAGAC
rnacentral:rRNA from 1 species